rnacentral:tRNA from 11 species
AGUAAAGUAAGCUAAUAAAAAGCUUUUGGGUUCAUACCUCAAAAAUGGAAGGAUAAAUACCUCCCUUUAUU